rnacentral:rRNA from 1 species
UACGUAGGGGGCAAGCGUUGUCCGGAAUCAUUGGGCGUAAAGAGCGUGUAGGCGGCUCGGUAAGUCCGCUCUGAAAGCCCGGGGCUCAACCCCGGGAGGCGGGCGGAUACUGUCGGGCUAGAGUCCGGAAGAGGCGAGUGGAAUUCCUGGUGUAGCGGUGAAAUGCGCAGAUAUCAGGAGGAACACCAAUGGCGAAGGCAGCUCGCUGGGACGUGACUGACGCUGAGACGCGAAAGCGUGGGGAGCGAACAGG